GAGCAGGAAUUACUAAGCCACGCUCGGACAGCAGAAAUUACAAGACAAGAACAUGAUGACAACGAACAAGAAAUCAGGGUAAGCUGACUUCAAAAUGCAAAUACAUAGGUAUUCUUAUAGACAGAUCAAUGUUAGACCAACAACCCCAAAAACAAGGUAUAUGCUUUUAAGUUCCUCUAAUUCAGAAUAAAGUCCACCAUUCCUUACAUUAAAAACAAAAAAACAAAACAAAGACCCAAUCCAUCUGGUAAACUUUUUGGCAGUUGAUGUGGAAGCUCCAAAAUUCUGAGCAAACCAAACCACCAGCAACCCACCCCCUCAAGCAAAGAAAGCAGAA